rnacentral:rRNA from 1 species
UACGGGGGGGGCAAGCGUUGUUCGGAAUUACUGGGCGUAAAGGGCGCGUAGGCGGUUGGAUAAGUCAGCUGUGAAAACCACGGGCUUAACUCGUGGCCUGCAGUUGAGACUGUCUGGCUUGAGUGCAGGAGAGGAAUGCGGAAUUCCAGGUGUAGCGGUGAAAUGCGUAGAUAUCUGGAGGAACACCGGUGGCGAAGGCGGCAUUCUGGACUGUAACUGAUACUGAGGAACGAAAGCCAGGGGAGCAAACGGG